CAAGACAUAGCUUAACUAAAGCAUUUAGUUUACACCUAAAAGAUUUCACACACUAUGAAUGUCUUGA
rnacentral:tRNA from 1 species